rnacentral:lncRNA from 1 species
AAGCUUUAAGAAUGUGUGUUGGUCAGCCAAGCUCUGGUGUGUGCUGUAGUUCCCCACCAUGCGGUAUCAGUGUUAGGAAGGCUACUUGAAAUUCAAAGAGAAUCCAUGUUGCCAGUUAUGUCAAUAUCAAUAGUGUUACCUCCGCUCUCACUUUCCUCUGAAACCUAUCAUCACUGGGAUGAAAAAAGACAGACUUAGUUCUCUUCCCCUACUACAUCUCCCUUCUGUUAAUAAUGUAAAGAAAUAGUUAAUUAGGAUUUGUGGCCAAAAAUAAACCAACAAAGAAUGUCAUUUAUUCAGUCGUGUACACUCAACAUUGCUCUUUAA